GCGAGCCUUACGUGCUCCCUUAUCGGCGAGCACUUCCAGCAUCCGACCGCCGAGGAGCCGAAGCUGUCUGGGAGGGAAAAACCCGGGAGAGAGGACUACCGCUGGUGGACAGUUUAAAACCAUCACCCACAACAAACGCUGGAUGCCUUCACCUACAGUGUAUACUGAGGACUGUCAGCCACAUGUCGCUGGUUUACUGCAAGAACGGACGCUGUAUGAGGUGUGAUGUGGAUGGGAACUUGUGGACAGAUGCAGAGCUCAGGGCUGACCAGAUCCAUCAAGAAACAAUAAGCCCAAAGCAUCGGCUUUUCUAUACAAUCACAGGACAUCAGCUGACCACCCAACCAAGGCCAGGCCAGCCACAAUAAUCGAUAUGCUACUCAUUAAGCCAUCGGGGCUGCACGUUAUACCUCCAGGCUGCUCAACAUAAACUGUCUGUCUCCAGACAAUGCCGUCUCUUUUCCAACAAGUCUCUUCACUUCCUGGUACGGCGUGGGCCCUUCGCCGAGGGCAGCCUCACAGAGCAUUUCUCACAUACAAAAGUCCCACUCUGUUCACUGCCUGGGUUUUCACUCAGCCACUCGAAACACUCAUCCCCUUUUCAUAAAGUCUGCCCACCUGAAAUAAAGGACAUUUCU